UCUGUCUAUGUUCAAACAGCAUAUUGGGAAAACCCAAAUAAGUGGGUCACUCAUUUCAAAACAGGUUUGAAAGAUAAACAACUACUACGUCACAAUAUCGCUAACAUAGGUUCGUAGUUGCAUUCAGCAAUUGACUAUAUCUGUUGGGUAAUCCCAUUGUCCUUCAACUAACUUGGAAAUUCCAGACCUUAAAAAAUCAAAUAAUUGUCACUUAAAAUGAGAGAAAGGGUUUGUGCGGGUGAUACGUUAACGGCGAUGUGUAUAUAAAGAGCGUAAAAUUUCGCUUUUCAUCACCAGACAUCAGUUGGCUUAGCAAUACUAAUCAACUAAACAGAAGAAAAUAAUCAAAAAAUUUCAACAUGAUCAAGGGUAUGUUGAUUCUUUUUGUCUUCGUUGCCGUAUGUGUACUAUUGGUAUCAGCACAACAUGAGUACACGGAAAACUAUCCCAUUAUCAAUUAUCGCAUAACUAGAUUCAGUCGUGACGUUGAAUCUCAGAUGAUGGCAAAGAGGAAUAGAUUUCCUGGAUGGCUGUUUGGUUAAUAUGUUUGGAAAAAUAAUAUUUAUUUGAUUGCUUGUCUGUAGCAUUGAUAAAACUGCUCCGUAGUCAAGACAACGGCUAAAAACAAGAAUUGCAGAAUUUUCAAAUAUCUGCUGUUCUUAUUUAUUAUUCGAUGUCUCAGUAUUUAUUUGAAACAAUAAAAGUGUAAUAUUGCUUGUGGUUUCAUGGUAUUUAAGUAAUAUAAAUUCUGAAACAGAA